rnacentral:rRNA from 1 species
UUAAGCGACUAAGCGUACACGGUGGAUGCCCUGGCAGUCAGAGGCGAUGAAGGACGUGCUAAUCUGCGAUAAGCGUCGGUAAGGUGAUAUGAACCGUUAUAACCGGCGAUUUCCGAAUGGGGAAACCCAGUGUGAUUCGUCACACUAUCAUUAACUGAAUCCAUAGGUUAAUGAGGCGAACCGGGGGAACUGAAACAUCUAAGUACCCCGAGGAAAAGAAAUCAACCGAGAUUCCCCCAGUAGCGGCGAGCGAACGGGGAGCAGCCCAGAGCCUGAAUCAGUGUGUGUGUUAGUGGAAGCGUCUGGAAAGGCGCGCGAUACAGGGUGACAGCCCCGUACACAAAAAUGCACAUGCUGUGAGCUCGAUGAGUAGGGCGGGACACGUGGUAUCCUGUCUGAAUAUGGGGGGACCAUCCUCCAAGGCUAAAUACUCCUGACUGACCGAUAGUGAACCAGUACCGUGAGGGAAAGGCGAAAAGAACCCCGGCGAGGGGAGUGAAAAAGAACCUGAAACCGUGUACGUACAAGCAGUGGGAGCACGCUUAGGCGUGUGACUGCGUACCUUUUGUAUAAUGGGUCAGCGACUUAUAUUCUGUAGCAAGGUUAACCGAAUAGGGGAGCCGAAGGGAAACCGAGUCUUAACUGGGCGUUAAGUUGCAGGGUAUAGACCCGAAACCCGGUGAUCUAGCCAUGGGCAGGUUGAAGGUUGGGUAACACUAACUGGAGGACCGAACCGACUAAUGUUGAAAAAUUAGCGGAUGACUUGUGGCUGGGGGUGAAAGGCCAAUCAAACCGGGAGAUAGCUGGUUCUCCCCGAAAGCUAUUUAGGUAGCGCCUCGUGAAUUCAUCUCCGGGGGUAGAGCACUGUUUCGGCAAGGGGGUCAUCCCGACUUACCAACCCGAUGCAAACUGCGAAUACCGGAGAAUGUUAUCACGGGAGACACACGGCGGGUGCUAACGUCCGUCGUGAAGAGGGAAACAACCCAGACCGCCAGCUAAGGUCCCAAAGUCAUGGUUAAGUGGGAAACGAUGUGGGAAGGCCCAGACAGCCAGGAUGUUGGCUUAGAAGCAGCCAUCAUUUAAAGAAAGCGUAAUAGCUCACUGGUCGAGUCGGCCUGCGCGGAAGAUGUAACGGGGCUAAACCAUGCACCGAAGCUGCGGCAGCGACGCUUAUGCGUUGUUGGGUAGGGGAGCGUUCUGUAAGCCUGCGAAGGUGUACUGUGAGGUAUGCUGGAGGUAUCAGAAGUGCGAAUGCUGACAUAAGUAACGAUAAAGCGGGUGAAAAGCCCGCUCGCCGGAAGACCAAGGGUUCCUGUCCAACGUUAAUCGGGGCAGGGUGAGUCGACCCCUAAGGCGAGGCCGAAAGGCGUAGUCGAUGGGAAACAGGUUAAUAUUCCUGUACUUGGUGUUACUGCGAAGGGGGGACGGAGAAGGCUAUGUUGGCCGGGCGACGGUUGUCCCGGUUUAAGCGUGUAGGCUGGUUUUCCAGGCAAAUCCGGAAAAUCAAGGCUGAGGCGUGAUGACGAGGCACUACGGUGCUGAAGCAACAAAUGCCCUGCUUCCAGGAAAAGCCUCUAAGCAUCAGGUAACAUCAAAUCGUACCCCAAACCGACACAGGUGGUCAGGUAGAGAAUACCAAGGCGCUUGAGAGAACUCGGGUGAAGGAACUAGGCAAAAUGGUGCCGUAACUUCGGGAGAAGGCACGCUGAUAUGUAGGUGAAGUCCCUCGCGGAUGGAGCUGAAAUCAGUCGAAGAUACCAGCUGGCUGCAACUGUUUAUUAAAAACACAGCACUGUGCAAACACGAAAGUGGACGUAUACGGUGUGACGCCUGCCCGGUGCCGGAAGGUUAAUUGAUGGGGUCAGCGCAAGCGAAGCUCUUGAUCGAAGCCCCGGUAAACGGCGGCCGUAACUAUAACGGUCCUAAGGUAGCGAAAUUCCUUGUCGGGUAAGUUCCGACCUGCACGAAUGGCGUAAUGAUGGCCAGGCUGUCUCCACCCGAGACUCAGUGAAAUUGAACUCGCUGUGAAGAUGCAGUGUACCCGCGGCAAGACGGAAAGACCCCGUGAACCUUUACUAUAGCUUGACACUGAACAUUGAGCCUUGAUGUGUAGGAUAGGUGGGAGGCUUUGAAGUGUGGACGCCAGUCUGCAUGGAGCCGACCUUGAAAUACCACCCUUUAAUGUUUGAUGUUCUAACGUUGACCCGUGAUCCGGGUUGCGGACAGUGUCUGGUGGGUAGUUUGACUGGGGCGGUCUCCUCCUAAAGAGUAACGGAGGAGCACGAAGGUUGGCUAAUCCUGGUCGGACAUCAGGAGGUUAGUGCAAUGGCAUAAGCCAGCUUGACUGCGAGCGUGACGGCGCGAGCAGGUGCGAAAGCAGGUCAUAGUGAUCCGGUGGUUCUGAGUGGAAGGGCCAUCGCUCAACGGAUAAAAGGUACUCCGGGGAUAACAGGCUGAUACCGCCCAAGAGUUCAUAUCGACGGCGGUGUUUGGCACCUCGAUGUCGGCUCAUCACAUCCUGGGGCUGAAGUAGGUCCCAAGGGUAUGGCUGUUCGCCAUUUAAAGUGGUACGCGAGCUGGGUUUAGAACGUCGUGAGACAGUUCGGUCCCUAUCUGCCGUGGGCGCUGGAGAACUGAGGGGGGCUGCUCCUAGUACGAGAGGACCGGAGUGGACGCAUCACUGGUGUUCGGGUUGUCAUGCCAAUGGCACUGCCCGGUAGCUAAAUGCGGAAGAGAUAAGUGCUGAAAGCAUCUAAGCACGAAACUUGCCCCGAGAUGAGUUCUCCCUGACCCUUUAAGGGUCCUGAAGGAACGUUGAAGACGACGACGUUGAUAGGCCGGGUGUGUAAGCGCAGCGAUGCGUUGAGCUAACCGGUACUAAUGAACCGUGAGGCUUAACCUU